AACAACACUGGAGGAAGUCGAAAGACUCACAGAAACAACUAAUGAACUUUGCGCAAAGCUUCAAGAUGAACGCAAGAAAAGAUCAGCCAUUUGUGUACCAAGCCAGCUCCACAUCGACCGGCUCUCCUCUUCUCUCACAGCCAGAUCCUCUCUCCCUCGCCUCGUCUCCGACGAUUUUGCCUCUCAACAACGAAUCCAGAUCCGGUGGAGAUCGACCUUGGAAGCCACACUGGGAGGCACCAGGAGCAGGAGAGGUCGCGACCGACGGCGGGAGGAGAGGCCCCAGCGGUGGAUGAAACGCUGCAGAUCGCCGGCGUCUCCGCCUCUCCCCCGCAUGCCGCCUCCUCCACUCCCCUUCCCUCACAGCCCCACCCCCUCUCAUCUCGUCUGCUAACCCUUUUUCCCUCUCAAUACACUCAAUAAUGAAUCCUGAUCCGUGCAGAUGGAUGGCAGAGUCCCUAUGGUCGAUGGCGCCGGGGAGGAGGCAGAGCGGCAGGACGGGUUCUGUAAUGCUGGGUGGAGCGGCGGCCGGAACGGGUCACCGGUGUGAGAGGGUGGAGUCCUUUCGUGUGGCCAGAAAUAUUCCUACAGACUACAUCGCCCUUACUUUCAGAAUGUCAUACUAUAGUUUGCAUAGAGCGGGGCAUGCUCGAUCAGUUUGGAGGCCAAGAUGACACCAGAUGGACCUUACUUUCAGAAUGGCAUAUCGCUAUCUAUUCUAUUUUCUAAAUUUAACCUCUUGAAAGAAUCACAUCUACUGUAUAUUCUGAUUCUACUGACUUAAUCAAUAGUUGUGGAUCCAUAUUCCUUGCAACACCGUUGAUCUCUUGGUGCGGUGGCGCGAGGCCAACCUGGGUUUGCCGGGGUGAUCUCCCUGUCACUGGACGAGGAGGUUGACAAGGACACCGUGGUGGAACUUGGCGACGCAGACCACAGGAGGUAGGAGGAGGAGAAGAAGAAGAAGAACCGGCGCAAGAAGAGGAGGAAGAAGCAGCGGAAGGAGGACGCCACCGCAAACAAGGAGAUAUCACAUUUGGUUCCAAAUUGGUGCUGUGAUGUAUGCUUCAAGAAUUGAAGAUCGACACGGUGGCUGAGGGUUGUGUGUUGGCUGUCGGGGCUAGCUGUAGCGGAGGCGACAGCGGCCAUUGCUAGCUAGAGGUAUUGGCAUGCGUCAGCUGGCACGCAGCUGCAGCACAGGAGGCAUGGUCGGAGGCAAGAAAGAAGGAACUCUCUAAAGUAUAGUAUGAAUCUCUCCCUGCACUAUUAGCUUGAUUUACUUGGUUAUCUAGGUCACAGAGCAUGUCACUGCUGUUACAUGUUUCACUUCAUUCUUUUUUUUCCUUUUUGUAGAGAUGAUUUCAGUACUCUAUCAGUGUGAUGUUAAUUAGCACCAAGAUGCAUGUGUCACUCGUUCGAUCAAGUGUGAUGAAUUUUGUAUUUUGUUCCUGGUGAUCUGAAAUCCCGGUUUUGUCUCGGCUAAAUGUUGCUUAAUAUACACCUGAUAUUUUGAAUCUGAUGCAAUAACAAUAGAUAAUGUAAACAGGAAAGUGAAAGGGGCGCCUCCCACCACCACUUAGCUUUCUCUCACGAGGCGCCACCAGGUGGCGCCCCAACCGCUAGUAAUGUAGCAAAGCUCAGUGGUUUUGGCGUGUGCCGAAUGUUCACUGAUGAGUUCAGGGGCACAACCACUCUAUAUAAGCAUACCCACCCAAAGGGAUCUUUUGUGUACAUUGAUCCUGAAUAUGUUAUGACUGGUGACCUGACCCCCCUAUCUGAUGUAUACUCUUUCGGAAUCGUGCUGUUGCGCCUCUUGACUGGAAGACCAGGAUUCGGGCUGUUGAAAGAUGUGCAACGGGCAGUGGAAAAGGGUUGCCUGGAAGCAAUUUUGGAUUCAUCUGCUGGGGGCUGGCCAGCUAUGCAGGCUGAGCAAUUGGCUCGGGUAGGUCUGAAAUGUUGUGAAAUCAGAAGAAAAAACCGUCCUGACCUGCAAACGGAGGUUUGGACUGUACUUGAACCAAUGUUGAAGUCCAGUUCCUUCAUGUUGUGUUCCUUAUCAUUUAAAUCAGUAUCCGAAGACCUUGGAGGUGUGCCGCCCUACUUCAUCUGUCCAAUACUACAGGAUAUCAUGAGGGAACCUCUAAUUGCUGCAGAUGGUUUUACCUAUGAAGCCGAAGCUAUAAGGGAGUGGAUUGACAAUGGCCACCAUACAUCACCCAUGACAAAUCUUGAGCUACUCCACCGUGAUCUUUUGCCGAACCAUGCCCUCCGUUCUGCGAUCCAAGAAUGGCUGCAGACAAAUGCAAAUUAAUAUGUUAGCUUUAUCACCAUGGAACUUUGAGAUGAAAAAUUGGUGUGCGCGUAACUCCUUGCACAGAUUAGUAGGCACAAACCGCAAAAACCAAACGCUUCUGUGUGUAUUCAGAAAGAAUGAUCUAAGAUAUACACAGUGCUUUUCAUUUUGUUUCUUCAGCAAAACGUGUAUGUAAAAUAUAAUAGUUUGGAGCUCCAUCAGUAGCAUGCUGUACUUUGUACAUGGAUUUAUAAAGAGAAAACUGUUUUGGU